rnacentral:rRNA from 1 species
GUGCCAGCCGCCGCGGUAAUACGUAGGGUGCGAGCGUUAAUCGGAAUUACUGGGCGUAAAGCGUGCGCAGGCGGUUAUAUAAGACAGUUGCGAAAUCCCCGGGCUUAACCUGGGAAUGGCGCUUGUGACUGCACGACUGGAGUGCGGCAGAGGGGGAUGGAAUUCCGCGUGUAGCAGUGAAAUGCGUAGAUAUGCGGAGGAACACCGAUGGCGAAGGCAGUCCCCUGGGCCUGCACUGACGCUCAUGCACGAAAGCGUGGGGAGCAAACAGGAUUAGAUACCCUG